rnacentral:rRNA from 1 species
AGGACGAACGCUGGCGGCGUGCCUAAUGCAUGCAAGUCGAGCGACGAAUAGGUGCGGGUAACCAAGCCUAUUACGGAGCGGCGAACGGGUGAGUAACACGUGAGCAACCUGCCCCGAAGACCGGGAUAGCCCAGGGAAACUUGGAUUAAUACCGGAUAUCCUCCUUUGAUCGCAUGGUCGUUGGAAGAAAUGCUUUUACGCUUCGGGAUGGGCUCGCGGCCUAUCAGCUUGUUGGUGGGUAACGGCCUACCAAGGCGUCGACGGGUAGCUGGUCUGAGAGGACGAUCAGCCACACUGGGACUGAGACACGGCCCAGACU